GACGAACGCUGGCGGCGUGCCUAAUACAUGCAAGUAGAACGCACAGUUUAUACCGUAGCUUGCUACACCAUAGACUGUGAGUUGCGAACGGGUGAGUAACGCGUAGGUAACCUGCCUGGUAGCGGGGGAUAACUAUUGGAAACGAUAGCUAAUACCGCAUAAUAUUAAUUAUUGCAUGAUAAUUAAUUGAAAGGUGCAAUUGCACCACUACCAGAUGGACCUGCGUUGUAUUAGCUAGUAGGUGAGGUAACGGCUCACCUAGGCGACGAUACAUAGCCGACCUGGGAGGGUGAUCGGCCACACUGGGACUGAGACACGGCCCAGACUCCUACGGGAGGCAGCAGUAGGGAAUCUUCGGCAAUGGACGAAAGUCUGACCGAGCAACGCCGCGUGAGUGAAGAAGGUUUUCGGAUCGUAAAGCUCUGUUGUAAGAGAAGAACGGGUGUGAGAGUGGAAAGUUCACACUGUGACGUUAUCUUACAAGAAAGGGACGGCUAACUACGUG
rnacentral:rRNA from 1 species